GUGGCCAUAGUUCAGUUGGUUAGAAUAUCGGUUUGUGGUACCGAGGGUCGUGGGUUCGAGCCCCAUUGGCCACCCA
rnacentral:tRNA from 1 species